CCUUCUUCCAGCGGGGUGGCCGAGUACAUGCAUCUUUCUCGGGGGGCUCGCUCGCACACGCCCUCUCCCGCAGCCCGCGACUCCCCACCUGCCCCGGCUCGCCUUAGCCUCUCUUCUCCUUCGGGUGCAUCCCUGACCCUGGCAUCCCUUCAUCCCGGCCUGCUAGGGUUCGGAGCGUCGGGACGCGGCUGUGGCGGCGGUGCGGAGCUGGUGUGGGAAGCCAAGGCAGGAAAGGCGAACCCGAGUGGGUGGUGAGAGGCCAACCGAGUCCGUGGGAGCCAGGGAAGCCGAGAGGAGUGAGACACUGAGUGUGCGCUGCGCGCUGCCCUGGUCGGGGCGGACUCGUGCGGAGGCUCCUAGUCUUCCGAGCGGCGCCCCAGCCUCUGCAGUGAGCCUGCUUGGGUGCGCCUUGGGACCCAGGCACCCAGAUCCCGGAGGUCGGCGGAGAGGUACCCGAGAAAGGCAGUGAUUCUGAGAGUCCGCGGAGGGGAGACGCGGAGGCUGAGCGGAUGGAGGAACAAUGCCGCCUCCAGAAGCAAAGCCUUUCUUGAGCCUUGGCUGGAGUGUGGAGUCGGCUCUCUGCUCUGCUCUCUCCAGGCCUUGAGGCUACUUCUGGGCUUGGUUCCGCCUCUUAGUUUGACAGGAAUUAGAAAGUUGCUCUUCUUCUCUACAAGGUUUCCUUUGAAGUGGCUUUCCGAUCUGCGUGCUGGUUCAAGUCAAGAUGUCACUUUCUGGAUCCCCCGCGAGGAGCGACUAAUAGAUUAUGCAUUGUUGGGCAAUAAACUCUCCUGGGAAGAGAGGGUAGUCCACCCCAAGGUUUAAACGGUUCGCCACUGACUCCUGCCAGCCUCAGCACAAUGCCUGAAAUGACAAAGAGACUGUAUUGCCCUUGGAAUGAGGUUCCUACAGCAUAAGAAAGAAAGGUGCUGAGCACAUUCAGGGU
rnacentral:lncRNA from 1 species